AACAAACGCUGGCGGCGUGCCUAAUACAUGCAAGUCGAACGGGGAAAGCUUUCGGUGAGUACUAGUGGCGCACGGGUGAGUAACGCGUGGAUAAUCUGCCUUAGAGUGGGGGAUAACUAGUCGGAAGAUUAGCUAAUACCGCAUAAGACCACAAGAACUGCGGUUCAAGGGGUCAAAGGUUUUUCGCUCUAAGAUGAGUCCGCGUAAGAUUAGCUAGUUGGUAGGGUAACGGCCUACCAAGGCGACGAUCUUUAACUGGUCUGAGAGGAUGAUCAGUCACACUGGAACUGAGACACGGUCCAGACUCCUACGGGAGGCAGCAGUAGGGAAUAUUGCACAAUGGAGGAAACUCUGAUGCAGCGACGCCGCGUGAGUGAUGAAGGCCUUCGGGUCGUAAAGCUCUGUCGCAGGGGAAUAACACAAUGAAGGUACCCUGUAAGAAAGGAUCGGCUAACUUCGUGCCAGCAGCCGCGGUAAAAC
rnacentral:rRNA from 1 species